CGUGCAACUUCCCCGGGGUCUUGUCAUGUGUUGCCACGGAUUCCUGCAGGGCGGAUGGAUUCGUUGCAGCUCGACAAUGUCCAAGUGGACAGGUGUGCUGCUCUAAUUUAUUUAUUAUAUCACCGACAACAACAACAACAACGACGACGACGACACCUAUGACACCAUGCAAUCUACCCGGGAGUCUUGUCAUGUGUUGACACAAAUUUCUGCGACAGUAAUGGAGUCGUUGCGGCUCGACAGUGUCCAAGUGG